GGCUCUGGCCCGCCCACUCGUGGGUUCCAAGGUCCUGGACUGGACGGGAGCCGAGGAACGUUGGGAGUGGGAGGACUCAGGAGGGAUAAAGGGGAAACUGAGGGGUGCCUCGUCUCUGUUAAGCUGUGCCCCAGGCCCCGCAGAAGAUCCAGGUAUCUCUAACAGAAUUCCGUAAACGUUCCGAGAAGCUGCCCGUCAGGCCCAAGUGUUACAUUUUCUUAUUGCCAGCGAUUUGGGUCAGAUGAGGGAUACCUGGGGCUGUGCCUCGCCCCUUUCUCUCUAUCCCACCCCCACCCUGCUCUACCAAAGUACCUGACCUAGACUUCAGAGAGAUUAACGAGCCGUGGCUCCCAGAGGGGUCAGAAUAUGGCCGUUAAUAGACUUCUUGCUCACAGAAAACUUCUGGUACUAAAUCAGAGCUAUAGGUCAGGAAGAGAGGAGUUGUCCUAGGAUUAUGACCUUGCUUAUGUGACUACGUAAACCAACCUUGCAGCUCCCUCACAUCCUCAGUAAUAUGAUUACAUCAUUUCUUCUGUUAGUGGCUUUGAGGAAAAAAACGCAGUCUCUAAAAAAUAUAAACCACUACAGGGGGUGUGGAGUCAUCCCUCCGUAACCUCAGCACUCUGGAAGCUGAGGCAGGAGGAUCACCUCCAAUUGGAGACCAACCUACACUGAAUAACAAGUAGAAAACCGUCCCGAGCUUCCUCAAAAGACAACAAAAAUAAUAAAAAAACAAACCACCACAAUUCCCUGCCAGCCUUUGUCCUGGAAAAUAAAGAACAAAAGAAAACCUCACAGACCUUGACACGGGAUUUAUGGAAAGUGAUCAGCCAGGUAUGGUACCCCACGUCUGCAAUCCCAGCAUUUAUGGGGUAAGGCUGAAGGAGUAGAAGUUCAAGGCCAACCUGGACUACAUAAUGAGUUUAAGGUAACCUGGGCUACCUUGUCCCAAAAACCCACAAAGAUUUAUAAAAAGUCAUAGAAGGCUAGAGUGAUGACUCAGACGUUAAGAACAUUGGCUGCUCUUCCAGAGGACCCAGGUUCAAUUCCCAGCACCCACAUGGCAGCUCACACCUGUCUGUAACUCCAGUUCCAGGAGAUCUGACACCCUCACACAGAUGUAUAUAUGUAGUCAAAACGCUAGUAUAAUGCUCAUAAAAUAAAAAUAAAUUAUUAAAAAGUCACCCUAUGCAAUGAUCUAUCUGUAAAUGUUACAGAGACCAAAGUGGCUCCCAAACUUCAUGAGAGACUGAAAUGAUCUGUAACCUCAGGGUCACAUGCCCAGGUAAUGCAGUCAUAACUAAAGGGUGUGGUCCACAAGUCUAGAACCAUAGCAUCUGAGUAAGAAUAUACUAUUGGAGCUGGAGACAUGGCUCUGGAGCUUUUCCUGCUCUUCUACAAAAACUGAGUUUGAUUCACAGCACUCAAGUUAGGCAGCUAAGUUACUGCCUGUAACUCUAGGUCCAAGGGAAUCUGACACUAUUGUUACUGUGGGUUCUUAAGCACCUUCAUUCACAUGUACAGACACACAUAAUUAAAAAUAAAAUUCUUGGGCUGCGGAUUUA
rnacentral:lncRNA from 1 species